rnacentral:rRNA from 1 species
AUAGGGCGUUUAGUUGCUGGGUAUAGACCCGAAACCGGGUGAUCUAUCCAUGAGCAGGUUGAAGGUUGGGUAACACUAACUGGAGGACCGAACCCACUGUCGUUGAAAAGCCAGGGGAUGACUUGUGGAUAGGGGUGAAAGGCUAAUCAAACUCGGUGAUAGCUGGUUCUCCCCGAAAGCUAUUUAGGUAGCGCCUCGGACGAACACCAUUGGGGGUAGAGCACUGUCUCGGCUAGGGGGUCAACCCGACUUACC